rnacentral:lncRNA from 1 species
CUCGAGUUGACUCUUCUGCCUUUUGUGGGAGUUAUAAAUUGCAGAUAUCAUUUGCGUACAUUUAUGUCCAUUGCUUAUUUUAUGAGAUCUUUUACGGUGCCUUUAAAUCACUGUGAACCAUCUAUUUUAUUAGAUCCGAAGGUCCACGUUGAUUUGUACUGUGGUAAAAACAAGAGUAUCAAAACAGAGUAGCAGUACGUGGAAGGGAAAAAUGGGUAAUCCGAAAAUAAACUC